rnacentral:hammerhead_ribozyme from 2 species
AGCCGAAACAGCGGAUUAAAUCCGCUGUCCGCCGGAAGUGGUCUACCGGCGCUGAUGAUGGCAGACCGGA